CCGACGGUGAGAGGUGAAAGCUGGGGGAGCAAACCGGAUUAGAUACCCGGGUAGUCCCAGCCGUAAACGAUGUGCGUUAGGUGUAUCGGUGACCACGAGUCACCGAGGUGCCGAAGAGAAAUCGUGAAACGUACCGCCUGGGAGGUACGGUCGCAAGGCUGAAACUUAAAGGAAUUGGCGGGGGAGCACCACAACAGGUGGAGCCUGCGGUUUAAUCGGACUCAACGCCGGGAAACUCACCAGAUAAGACAGCUGAAUGAUAGUCGGGCUGAAGACUCUACUUGACUAGCUGAGAGGAGGUGCAUGGCCGUCGUCAGUUCGUACUGUGAAGCAUCCUGUUAAGUC
rnacentral:rRNA from 1 species